AGAGAGGUGUCCGAGUGGUCGAAGGAGCACGAUUGGAAAUCGUGUAUACGUUAAUCGCGUAUCGAGGGUUCGAAUCCCUUCCUCUCUGCCA
rnacentral:tRNA from 5 species